AUUGAACGCUGGCGGCAUGCCUUACACAUGCAAGUCGAACGGUAACGGGCCUUCGGGUGCCGACGAGUGGCGCACGGGUGAGUAAUACAUCGGAACGUGCCCGAUCGUGGGGGAUAACGAGGCGAAAGCUUUGCUAAUACCGCAUACGAUCUACGGAUGAAAGCAGGGGACCGCAAGGCCUUGCGCGGACGGAGCGGCCGAUGGCAGAUUAGGUAGUUGGUGGGAUAAAAGCUUACCAAGCCGACGAUCUGUAGCCGGUCUGAGAGGAUGAUCAGCCACACUGGGACUGAGACACGGCCCAGACUCCUACGGGAGGCAGCAGUGGGGAAUUUUGGACAAUGGGCGCAAGCCUGAUCCAGCCAUGCCGCGUGCAGGAUGAAGGCCUUCGGGUUGUAAACUGCUUUUGUACGGAACGAAAAGCCUUCUUUUAAUACAGGAGGGUCAUGACGGUACCGUAAGAAUAAGCACCGGCUAACUACGUG
rnacentral:rRNA from 1 species